rnacentral:piRNA from 1 species
UCAGGAAGAGCUGCUCUGUCGCCAU